rnacentral:rRNA from 1 species
UACGUAGGGGCCUAGCGUUGUCCGGAAUCAUUGGGCGUAAAGAGCGUGUAGGCGGCCACUUAAGUCCUGCGUGAAAUCUCGGGGCUCAACCCCGAGCGGUCGUGGGAAACUGGGUGGCUAGAGUGCGGGAGAGGAGAGUGGAAUUCCUGGUGUAGCGGUGAAAUGCGCAGAUAUCAGGAAGAACACCAGUGGCGAAGGCGGCUCACUGGAACGGAACUGACGCUGAGACGCGAAAGCGUGGGGAGCAAACAGG